rnacentral:lncRNA from 1 species
AUUAAUGACUGAUUAUUAAGCCGUCAAUUAGUUUCUUCACAUAGACAGCAGAAAAAGUUCUGGAAAUCUUUCUCUUCUGCUUACUGUAAAUCUUGAACAGAAAAGUUAAUGCCUACGUGUUUUCAAUAAGAAAGAUGAGAUUUGAGACAUUAGGAAAGACAGCGUUUGUUUUUCUAAGGUUUUCUCAGGGCAGCUUUAGGUUUAGACGGUGUUGUUUGUUUUUUUUUUUUUUUCCUAACAUCUUUGUCACCUGAAAGAAAAUCAUCAUAUCACCAACGUGAAAGUGAUUAGAAUUUGACCUGUAUGUUUAAUUCACUUUUCUCUUUCCCUUGUGGCUGAUGUUAAAUUUGAGAUCAGGCAUGGGAGGAGGUGUAGUUCAGACCUGCUUCCCUAUUCCACACUCCUGCCUCACCUGUAUCAGCUGUCUCAUAACCUUCCACCUAAUGAAGGAGAAUGUUCUACCUGUUCAUCAAACUUUCUCUUAGAGUCUCCUGCUCACCAGGCAUGCUGCUGGCCACCAGCGCUCAGCACCAACCGUCAUGUGGUCCUUCCUUUCACCCGGGUUACCAGGAAGUCUGGGCUACUGGAUGAGCAUUCAGGCCAGCAACUGUUGGACCUGCCCAUGUGUCAUCUGAGCUCACGCUCUCUUCUAUGGCACUCUUUCAUAAAGAGUUUUCCUUCCUCAACUGGGGUGUAGACUACAAAUGUGUCAAGAUCCCUGAAAUCUAAUGCUCAGUGAGAGUGCAACAAAUUUCCACCAUGUCAAGAAACAGAGAUGAUACAGUCCUGGAAUCCUCCUCCCAAAGUGUCUCCAGAAGAUCGUUCUUUACAAGGAAACACUCCGCAUAUCGGGACAGAGGACCGAGCAGAGCUCUGUGAAGGGUAGAGUCGAGUGCAGAUCCGUAAGGACUCUACACAGGUCAAGAAGAACGAAGGCAGACCUGACUGCCUGCUGAAGCGGUCACCUGGCAAGGGCACGUGAAGGUGGCAUACCACGGGGUGAGGGAAGCUCUGGAACCAGGCAUUGACUCUGACCCACAAGCCCCCGACUUUGAAUAGGAAGACCAAGUACAAAGACGUAAGAAAUGAGAUGCUACUCACGAUCUCUAUGGCUUUCUUGUGCCACACUGGACACUGAUGUCUUGCGGUUGGAAAAGUUGUAAAAACGGUGGGCAGUGAAAUUUUUGAUCUUUCAACCAAGAAAUUACAAAAUAUUUUCACGGAUUAUACAAUGAUAAAAAUCUCAGAAUGGCAAUUAAAUUCAAUGGGAACUCAUGCAACUGUCAGGAAUGUUUUUGUUUGUAAAUCCCGUCC